rnacentral:tRNA from 1 species
GCCGCAGUAGUACAACGGUUAGUACAUAUGAUUGCCAUUCAUAUGAUGACGGUUCGAUUCCGUUCUGUGGCUCCA